GCCGAGGUGGCGGAAUUGGCAGACCGCACUAGAUUCAGAGUCUAGCGCCUUCACGGGCGAUGGGUUCGACUCCUUCCUCGGCACCA
rnacentral:tRNA from 1 species